AUCCAUAGCAAUCUGGAUGAUUUAAGCAAGCAUGUCUGUAAUGCAUGAGAAUGUUAUUCCUCCAGGAGAAAGGAUCUUGUGCCUUACCACCAGAAGAGACCAAGUCCUGGGAAGCCAUGAGUCAGCUGAGGAUGUGAUGCCAGAGUGGAUCUGCAGCUGAAGAGCUCGUGGGACCAGGAUGUGGUCUGUGAAUGCUGUAUAUCCUUAAAUGCAUGCAAUUUCUGCUUUAUUUGCUUUUCAUGGGGCUCCUAGGAGUACAUUUUUCCCCUGAAGAGGAACUGGUGGCAUCAGGCACGUGGCAUUUCCACCACUUGGGGUGAUCACAGAGAGGGAACAGCAAAGCCUGGAGAGGUGUUUUAUACAAGAAUGCCCUCUUUAACGGGGACACUGCUGUCUGUCAAAGGUUGAACUGAUCUUUUCAGCAGUAGAUUUUCUGUCUUCUUCCUACCUGUCUAACUUUCAUGGUUUUUGAAGGAGUUAAGCAUUAUUUUUUUUUUUUUUGGGUGUCUUUCAUAUUGUGCAAGCUUUAGACACUGCACUGGGAAAGUUUUAAGGGAAGAAAACCAGCAGUAGCUGUUGACAGACACACAGACAUUUUCUUGGGCAAGCAGGGUAAAAAGCUGUCUGUGUGUAUUAUAGCGCUAUAUUCUUGAUGUACACAGUAAAAUAUGAGGAGGUUUUUUGGUCUGAUUGAUUUUUCAGCCAUGUUAAUGAGAUCUAGGCAUUAGUAUGUGAAGCAAUUAUAAGUAAUUAAGGUUAUUAUAAACCAUGUAAUUUGACGAAGUUGCAAUGGUAGCAUUUAAAUGCUUGCCUGUUUAUACUGCCAUUUUAAACUGGGGUCAAGUUUUGCAGGCAGGAUGUCAAGGAGAGGGCAAUUUGGUAAUUCUCUCCAUGGUUAUGGAUGCAGGCAUCCAUGGCAACAUGACAGGCCUGUCGUGUUUCCCAGGGUGCCCCAAGGCUCUGUCCAACACUGGCCUUGGCAGGAGGUGUAUUUGAGCAUCUACUCAUCCACUGCCUCAGGUCCUUAAUGAAGUCUAAUUGGAGGAGUUAAAGCAGUCAACUUGCAUUCAUCGAAAGCAAGUCAAACCAGUACAAAGUGAUGACACUUCUUUGCCUGGGUAACCCACUUGAAGGAGAUGGGGUAAGCAGUUGCAAUGGGUGGUGCUAAUUAAAAGAUAUAUUAAUGACAGAAAUGACUAAGUGACAUGAUCCAAACAAAGCUACAGAGACUAGGGCUGUAUGAGGGAACAGAAUUUGGUCAGGCUGGCCUGGUUGAAUCAGAUGAUGCUCCUAAAGAUGCACUGGGUAUGACACACAGGGCAGAAGAGAAUUCAGCAGGGUAUGGAUAUGACAGUGAGAUGUGGGUGUUGGGAUGCAUAGGAUGGAAUGCUGAAUGUGGGGGCACUUCAACAAAAAGGGCAGAGAU
rnacentral:lncRNA from 1 species